GGAGAGCUAUAACUGGCGUUAUAGUCGAAGCAGUCGAAAACGACACUCAGCGAAGCGAGAUCGGGGGCGCGCACGACGUUAUGCGUGUGGAUCGUGGGAGAUUGGGAUGAAAUCAUUCCAAUGUUGCAUCCCCACCCCCCCAGCUUUAAAACAAAAACAAACUUUGGCGCAUGGACCGAAAAAAAAGAGAGCAAGAGAGGAGAGAGUAACAAAUGACAACAACUCUCUCUCGUACGAAUGAGAAAUCAAAACAAAUUGCAAAAGAAUAGAGAUUUUCCGACGUCUCCUUUGCCUUGCCUUCGCUGGGUUAUGUGUAUAUGUUUUGACGAGCGUGUACCUAAGCGUAUGCGCACCGCCACAGGCGGACAGAAUGGAAAAUAUACAAAAUUAUUUGCUGCACUCGAACACACCGAUUCACAGGCAUACACUUGGCACUCUUUCGAGAGUGCAGUAUGCAUUAUGCACGCUAUAAACAAUUGCGGAAAAAAAUAGCACUUGGUUUCGUGGCCCCCGUUGGCUGAUGGCUACGUCAUAGCACUAAAAUAAUGGCGCGCUUUUUUUUUUACAGCACACACAUUAUAAACAAAUUCGCUUAAAUUAAAGAAAAAAACCAUAAUCAAUUAAGUUUUGCGAGUAUCAUUUAAUUUAGAACAAUUUGCUAGGGA